ACUCCUACGGGAGGCAGCAGUGGGGAAUCUUGCGCAAUGGGCGAAAGCCUGACGCAGCGACGCCGCGUGAGUGAUGAAGGCCUUCGGGUUGUAAUGCUCUGUGGGAGGAGACGAAUAAGUCGUAGCGAAUAGCUCCGAUGAUGACGGUAUCCUUUUAGCAAGCACCGGCUAACUCUGUGCCAGCAGCCGCGGUAAU
rnacentral:rRNA from 1 species